UACAGAGGGGGCAAGCGUUGUUCGGAAUUACUGGGCGUAAAGCGCGCGUAGGCGGCUUUGCAAGUCGGGUGUGAAAUCCCCAGGCUUAACCUGGGAACUGCAUUCGAGACUGCAUUGCUAGAGUAUGGGAGAGGGAAGUGGAAUUUCCGGUGUAGCGGUGAAAUGCGUAGAUAUCGGAAGGAACACCAGUGGCGAAGGCGACUUCCUGGCCUGUUCUUGACGCUGAGGCGCGAAAGCUAGGGUAGCAAACGGG
rnacentral:rRNA from 1 species